AGAUCUUUAAAAAUCAUAGAUCUCUUCUAAUGUUUACCCAUUUUGAUAUAUCUCCAAAUUCGUUGUGUAAUGAUAUUUUGUUGAGAUCUUUGUCUUGGGGAUUGUCAUCAUUCUUCUCUUCUUUUGUUGUCUUCUGCAUGUCUUCAUUAUUACCUGCAUCUGAUUCAACUGACUCAAGAGGUUUUACCUCAAGGUCCACAAUUUUAUCAAAGACAAC
rnacentral:lncRNA from 1 species